AAAGUACUCCCUCCAUCCCAAAAAUCUUGUCUUAGAUUUGUCCAGAUACAGAUGUAUCAAGUCACAUUUUAGUAUUAGAUACAUCCGUAUCUAGACAAUUCUAAGACAAGAAAUUUGGGACAGAAGGAGUAGUUG
rfam:Triticum aestivum genome assembly, contig: Triticum_aestivum_CS42_TGACv1_scaffold_222459_3B